rnacentral:rRNA from 1 species
UACGAAGGGGGCUAGCGUUGUUCGGAAUUACUGGGCGUAAAGCGCGCGUAGGCGGUGAUCCAUGUCAGAGGUGAAAUCCCGGGGGUCAACUCCGGAAUUGCCUUUGAAACGGGAUCGCUAGAGUCCGAGAGAGGAUGGCGGAAUUCCUAGUGUAGAGGUGAAAUUCGUAGAUAUUAGGAAGAACACCGGUGGCGAAGGCGGCCAUCUGGCUCGGUACUGACGCUCAGGCGCGAAAGCGUGGGGAGCAAACAGG